GAUGAACGCUGGCGGCGUGCUUAACACAUGCAAGUCGAACGAGAAGUGAAGACGGAAACCUUCGGGCGGAAGGCUUUAUUUCGAGUGGCGGACGGGUGAGUAACGCGUGGGUAACCUGCCUCAUACAGGGGGAUAACAGUUGGAAACGACUGUUAAUACCGCAUAAGACCACAGCACCGCAUGGUGCGGGGGUAAAAACUCCGGUGGUAUGAGAUGGACCCGCGUUCGAUUAGCCAGUUGGCGGGGUAACGGCCCACCAAAGCGACGAUCGAUAGCCGAUCUGAGAGGAUGACCGGCCACAUUGGGACUGAGACACGGCCCAAACUCCUACGGGAGGCAGCAGUGGGGAAUAUUGCACAAUGGGGGAAACCCUGAUGCAGCGACGCCGCGUGAGUGAAGAAGUAUUUAGGUAUGUAAAGCUCUAUCAGCAGGGAAGAAAAUGACGGUACCUGAGUAAGAAGCCCCGGCUAACUACGUG
rnacentral:rRNA from 1 species